rnacentral:rRNA from 1 species
GCCUGCCUAGCAGAACAACCCGCGAACACGUUCAUAAAACAAGGGUUCCAAAGCGGGCUGUUGCCCGUGAUGGCCCUUCACAAGGCCUCGAUCGGGACACUUGAGUGUGUGGGCGCUGCCUUCCCUCGACGUUCCUCGGUCUUGGCCUUUUAACAAACCCCCGGCGCGGAAAGCGCCAAGGAAUUGCAAACAGAAUGACCGACCGCCCCGAUUGCCCCGGAAACGGUGUGUAAGAGGGAUGCGAUCGUUAUUUUAGAAUCUAAACGACUCUCGGCAACGGAUAUCUCGGCUCUCGCAUCGAUGAAGAACGCAGCGAAAUGCGAUACUUGGUGUGAAUUGCAGGAUCCCGCGAACCAUCGAGUUUUUGAACGCAAGUUGCGCUCGAAGCCUUUUGGCCGAGGGCACGUCUGCCUGGGUGUCACUCAACCGUCGCCCCAACCCCCUUCCUUUUGGAUGGGCUAAAAAUCGGGCGGAAGAUGGCCUCCCGUUUGCACUUCACAUGCGGUUGGCCCAAAUGUCCGGUCCUCGGCAGCGUUGCCACGGCUAUCGGUGGUUGUAUGACCCUCGCUUAAUGCUGUGAGCAAUUCGGUGCCGGCGUGACCUACGAGGCCCCAAAGUGUAUCGUAAGACACGCUUGCAAUGCGACCCC